GACGGAGGGAGCUAGCGUUGUUCGGAAUGACUGGGCGUAAAGGGCGCGUAGGCGGUUUUUUAAGUGAGGCGUGAAAGCCCUGGGCUUAACCCAGGAGGUGCGUUUCAGACUGGAAGACUUGAGGACGAGAGAGGAAAGUGGAAUUCCUAGUGUAGAGGUGAAAUUCGUAGAUAUUAGGAAGAACACCAGUGGCGAAGGCGACUUUCUGGCUCGUAACUGACGCUGAGGCACGAAAGCCAGGGGAGCAAACGGG
rnacentral:rRNA from 1 species